rnacentral:rRNA from 3 species
CUGGAGGUAUCAGAAGUGCGAAUGCUGACAUAAGUAACGAUAAAGCGGGUGAAAAGCCCGCUCGCCGGAAGACCAAGGGUUCCUGUCCAACGUUAAUCGGGGCAGGGUGAGUCGACCCCUAAGGCGAGGCCGAAAGGCGUAGUCGAUGGGAAACGGGUUAAUAUUCCCGUACUUGGUGUUACUGCGAAGGGGGGACGGAGAAGGCUAUGUUGGCCGGGCGACGGUUGUCCCGGUUUAAGCGUGUAGGUGUGUGUUCCAGGUAAAUCCGGUUCACUUUAACACUGAGGCGUGACGACGAGGCACUACGGUGCUGAAGCAACAAAUGCCCUGCUUCCAGGAAAAGCCUCUAAGCAUCAGGUAACAUCAAAUCGUACCCCAAACCGACACAGGUGGUCAGGUAGAGAAUACCAAGGCGCUUGAGAGAACUCGGGUGAAGGAACUAGGCAAAAUGGUGCCGUAACUUCGGGAGAAGGCACGCUGACACGUAGGUGAAGUGAUUUACUCAUGGAGCUGAAGUCAGUCGAAGAUACCAGCUGGCUGCAACUGUUUAUUAAAAACACAGCACUGUGCAAACACGAAAGUGGACGUAUACGGUGUGACGCCUGCCCGGUGCCGGAAGGUUAAUUGAUGGGGUCAGCGCAAGCGAAGCUCCUGAUCGAAGCCCCGGUAAACGGCGGCCGUAACUAUAACGGUCCUAAGGUAGCGAAAUUCCUUGUCGGGUAAGUUCCGACCUGCACGAAUGGCGUAAUGAUGGCCAGGCUGUCUCCACCCGAGACUCAGUGAAAUUGAACUCGCUGUGAAGAUGCAGUGUACCCGCGGCAAGACGGAAAGACCCCGUGAACCUUUACUAUAGCUUGACACUGAACAUUGAGCCUUGAUGUGUAGGAUAGGUGGGAGGCUUUGAAGUGUGGACGCCAGUCUGCAUGGAGCCGGCCUUGAAAUACCACCCUUUAAUGUUUGAUGUUCUAACGUGGACCCGUGAUCCGGGUUGCGGACAGUGUCUGGUGGGUAGUUUGACUGGGGCGGUCUCCUCCUAAAGAGUAACGGAGGAGCACGAAGGUUGGCUAAUCCUGGUCGGACAUCAGGAGGUUAGUGCAAUGGCAUAAGCCAGCUUGACUGCGAGCGUGACGGCGCGAGCAGGUGCGAAAGCAGGUCAUAGUGAUCCGGUGGUUCUGAAUGGAAGGGCCAUCGCUCAACGGAUAAAAGGUACUCCGGGGAUAACAGGCUGAUACCGCCCAAGAGUUCAUAUCGACGGCGGUGUUUGGCACCUCGAUGUCGGCUCAUCACAUCCUGGGGCUGAAGUAGGUCCCAAGGGUAUGGCUGUUCGCCAUUUAAAGUGGUACGCGAGCUGGGUUUAGAACGUCGUGAGACAGUUCGGUCCCUAUCUGCCGUGGGCGCUGGAGAACUGAGGGGGGCUGCUCCUAGUACGAGAGGACCGGAGUGGACGCAUCACUGGUGUUCGGGUUGUCAUGCCAAUGGCACUGCCCGGUAGCUAAAUGCGGAAGAGAUAAGUGCUGAAAGCAUCUAAGCACGAAACUUGCCCCGA